CCAUAACUGAAAACAAUGGCUGGUUUAUAUAUUUGGAUUAAUGUUGAAUUGACUCGUUCUAAAUUUUUUUUUUUUUUUUUAACAAGGUGUCAAAUUCUUGACUAAUCCUUGGGUCUGUGAUCCGGCCCCUCUUCACACAGUCCAGUUAAUCGCGGGAUGUGCCUCCAACUAGUCAGGGUCCGAGCCCUUCCCACCCGAUCUGCCAAAGUGCCUAGCAAGCCAAUCCAAGUUGCACCUUGCCUUCCAAGAAUAAUCCUUGCCUUCCAAGAUUUCUCUUGCCUUCCAAGAGCCCCAUGAAUCGAACUCACGACCUCUGAUCUACCAGAUUUGAUAGAGCCCGUCCUUUGCGAGUGGAGAAGUGCCCCGGAUGGCACAUUAAAGGAGCCUUCUCGAGCCCACUUGCAAGUUGCAAUGAGUUCCCUUCUUCUGUUGGCACAGAAAACAAAACACAUUAUCUUAUCUUUUGAAAAAAUGGGGGGAGGAGAAAAUUUGGUGGCCAAAAGUUGAAUAAUUCUG
rnacentral:lncRNA from 1 species